AUGCUUUGGAUCUUAAAUCCCCUCCAAAGGCCAUUGUUUGACCUCCAACCCGCAGUGUUACCUAAGGGUGCAGGGGCAGCAUCUCAGAGGUGAAACUUGAGAGUAAGGACAUUGAGUCACUGAGGACUGCUGCUUCCUAUUGAUAAAAGCCCAGGCCAGAUAAAUUGAACAAAGUUAAUGAAUAGAAAAUGCUCUUGCACUGGGCAACAUUCCAGACCAAAGACAAUCCAGAAGGCCCUUCCUCACUACAUGUCAAUUGAGCCCGGGCCCCUUGUGCUUGCUGACUAGAUGCUGUACUUCUGAACGGUAUCUGAGGGACAGAAGAUCCACUCCUGCAAUUGAAAGAAAGAUGAAAUUUUAAGACCUUAACCCAGAGCUGUUCCUGGUCUUCUCUCAAAGCCUCUGGUUCUGGGAAAGCCCUUGAUCUUGGGUAAAGAGACAAGAAAAGGGACUAACUAAGCUUAGUGAAGAAUAGACAUCUGGGAUGAGAUAGCAAAUCAAGUCUACCAGUGAGCUGAAACAGCCGGCGCAGAUGAGGGAAUGGGACGCUAACCUGGAGGAUUCCACAGGCUGCACUCAGAGGAAAAUGCAGAUACUAGAGCAGACGAUCACAUCGAGGUACCCGGUUAGGUCAAGAAGGAUGUGAGGCGAACCUUCAGAUGUGGCUGCAACCCAGUCACACCCAGCCUGGGUCUGCCCGGGCUCUGCUGUCCUUUCUGCAGGCAAUUUCAGUUCAGUGUUGCUUUACAGUAUUGAUUUGGGAUGGGCUAUUGGCCUUCACGAUUAUAGCUACAGAAAUGUAAUUUCUAGAUGAAACAUGGAAUAGAUCCAAACAGAAAAUGUGAACACAAGAGUUUUCAGAGUAAAGUUAGGAAAGCAUUGUCACUAUCAAAGAGAAUGCUUUACUAAUCUCGAAUAGCAGAAUAUUCUGGCUUCAUAUGUCAUAUAUAUAUAUAUGAGCAUAUAUCUAUAUUUAUAUAUAGAUAUAUAAAUACAAUAUAUAUUGUUUUAAAACACAGAAAUAGUUGAGAAAUCACCCACCUAAUGUUGCAGUGCUCUUAUGUCUGCCUCCUAGGUUCUAGGAUGAUAGAAAUGGGUCACAAUUCCUGGCUUCCAACUCAUUUUUAAAAAGAGUGAGUGCAUCAUUGGUAAAUGGCAAAACUGAAAUAUAAAAGGAAAAGAAACUUAUGAUUCAUAACUAAAUAGCGAAACCCGGAAGUAUCCAGUAGCAAAUGAGCUGAAUGUCAAGCAUGUGAAUAGUCAUGGGAAGCAAGGCGUAUUCCUCUGGGGAAAGACAUCAUCAAUGGUACUGAGAGAAAAAUGUGAAACUAUAACGCCUUUAAAAACUUGGUGUAGCCUCAUUGCACGUGGUACUGGAUUUCACAAAGGCUCUUACACAUUCUCACACUUUCUCACGCAUUCUCCAUUCUCACACAUUCUCACGCAUUCUCACACAGGUAUAUGAUGAACUUUGGGUGUGUUCCUGUUUCAUGACUCCUCUUUCUGCUCUCCCUUCUCUUUAGUCCCUUUGAUUUCCUUACACAGUUUCAUUUCUACUUAAUGUCAUAUAUGCAUAGCUGAUUUUAUGAAUCUAUAAAAAUAUAGGAAGCACAAGUCAGAGAACUCAUGUAAUAUUUGUCUAAGCCUUGAGUAGCUCAAUAUAAUAAUCUCCCAAUGCGUCUAUUUUCCUACAAAUGGCAUAACUAUAUUCUUUAUGGCCGAAUAAAAUUGUAUUGCGUAAGUAUAUCAUAUUUUCUUAGCCUGUUCUUCCGUUAGCGAAUACCUAAACUAGCUCCAUAGUGUCUGUCAUGAGUGCUGUAAUAAAUAUUGCUGUACAAG
ensembl:antisense